rnacentral:rRNA from 1 species
AGGACGAACGCUGGCGGCGUGCUUAACACAUGCAAGUCAAGGGGGCCCAGCAAUGGGCAACCGGCGAACGGGUGCGUAACACGUGAGCAACCUACCGAAAUGUGGGGGAUAGCCGGCCUAACGGCCGAGUAAUACCGCAUACGCUCUCGAUGAGGCAUUUCAUUGAGAGGAAACCUACGGGACAUUUCGAGGGGCUCGCGGCCUAUCAGCUAGUCGGCGAGGUAACGGCUCACCAAGGCAACGACGGGUAGC